rnacentral:rRNA from 1 species
AUUGAACGCUGGCGGCACGCCUAACACAUGCAAGUCGAACGAGUGGCGGACGGGUGAGUAAUGUCUGGGAAACUGCCUGAUGGCGGGGGAUAACUACUGGAAACGGUAGCUAAUACCGCAUACCAUCGGAUGUGCCCAGAUGGGAGUAGCUAGUAGGUGGGGUAAAGGCUCACCUAGGCGACGAUCCCCAGCUGGUCUGAGAGGAUGACCAGCCACACUGGAACUGAGACACGGUCCAGACUCCUACGGGAGGCAGCAGUUGGGAAUAUUGCACAAUGGGCGCAAGCCUGAUGCAGCCAGGCCGCGUGUAUGAAGAAGGCCUUCGGGUUGUAAAGUACUUUCAGCGGGGAGGCGUUACCCGCAGAGGAAGCACCGGCUAACUCCGUGCCAGCAGCCGCGGUAAUAC